AACCCAAUCCUGGAUCUGGAGUAUACCUUUUAGCUCGAGCGGCAAACCAAGUAGGAAUGUCUGGGUUAUUUCCGAACUCCACUAAUAUGGACCUCCCUCGUGAAAGAAAGAGCAUGAUGUCAUGUGCAGCAAUGCGGGAGAGGAUGGGAACGCGCUCCUACCCACUCUACAUGCCCCAGAGAGCUUGUGACAGAGUCAUCAGAGAUGAGCAACUGGUUGCUUGUGUAGGAGGAACACACAAAUCCUGAAAUCUAUGGGAAAUCAGACCGCUCCGAUUUUUUGAGCUCCGGGACUUCUCUUUGUUCUCCAAUGUGGGUCAGGCACCAAGGUGUAGAUUGAACAUCGCUGCUGCCAGCAGCGCUGGUUUGAACAGCCAGCCCCUCCUUCCCAUUCACCGCUCCUCCCGUCCAGCCAUAACUACUGUGCAGCCAGUUGGUGAGUUAGAUGUGAUAAUUAAUCAGGGUUAAAUAAAACUUACUCACUUUGUUGCCAGAUGAUUUUUAACUGAGGUCAAUUCUGCAGCUCAGUUUACUGCACAGCCUCCCAGGCUACUGUCCUGGCACAACUGAAGGGCUGGCACAGGAAUGGGAGGAUAAAUAGUGACAAGUUCGGCAGAGGGGCAACUUAAAUUGAUGGUUUUGCUGAAAAACACUGCUGCUAGUCAAACUACUGCCUAAUAGCUAAGGCAGAGCUCAUCCUCCGCAGGGCUGGGCACCCAGCAUGCUGCCUGUUUGCUGCCUGUCCCUCUGCAAGCACGCUCUUCAGUAUGGAUUUCGGGGAAGGUUCUUUGGGAUGGUGUCCUUAAAUACUGAUGAGUAGUGGCCUGUUUUAGAAUAAUAUGAUAAAGAACCGAUUAAUAACAGUCAAAACUUCCUGGCCCAGGAUUCAUCCCUGUUGUACAUACAAACUGAGUUCUGCCUCCAACAACUUUCCAAGAAUUACAGGUUAGAGGGAAAACUAUUGUAUGAGUAGCAGUCUUGAAGAAGGCAGGCUGGGCUGAGGGAUGCCGAAGAAAACAGCUGAGAAUGGGAGCACUGGUUCAGAGAGCAUCCUAGCAGAGCCACUGCAGAAGAACUGAAGCUGGCUUGAGCAGUCACCUGGAGAACAUGGGGCGGUGGGGACACUGUGUGUCGUCACACCACACAUCUGGCACAGCUGCCGGAGUACAGUGGGACCUUGUUCCAGCACAGCCAUAUUAGUAAUGUGUCUGGAAAAGAAUUUUUGGCAAGGGUCAACUGAAACAGCUUUAUUCUGCCUCAGAGACAGCUCUCAAAAGGCUUUAAAACACAGAAUGUGUUGGAGCAGUCUUGAAGCACCAGAGGCGCUCGUGGUCGUGGCUACGGAUCUGCCAAAGAAAGCCCUUGUGGAAAGGUCAUCACUGAGCUGGAAGUGGGAAUCCCACCAGUGAACUCAUACUAAACCCACAAAAGCUUGUUUGCCAGAAAGAGAACAAUAAGGAAUAUUCUACAAGACCUGAAGAAUGUUGCUGUAACAGGUUGAGUUUCCCAAAGCACUUCCUUCUGCACAGCUAGAACCAUUGGAGGGAGCUGCUCCACACCGAGACAAGGGAGCAGGACUCAUCCCCCUCACUGUGAAGCAGCUGGAUCCAUAGGGACCUGGCUGCAACACCCACGCAGGAAAAAGGGCAGGAGCGCUGAGCAGCAAAGGUACAGACACACAUGGAGAGGGGCUGGGAGGGAGGCAGAGAGCAUAAAAUCGGUUGGCGCAAUGCGAAUGUGUAUUGCAGCGCAAUUCCCUUGCCUGUAAUUCCCUUCCUGCUCAGGUGGAGCGGUGACAUGCUAGUGCUGCUUGUCAAUUAUGCUGCAAAUAAACACUGUAUGAUUUGCAGUGACAUUUAAAAGCAAUUAAGAAAGUUAAGUGGUAAAUGUGUGCUUUUGUCUUUCCAGUUCAAAACAAAGUUUUGGUGGAAAAAAAUCCCAAAUAUUUAAUUACAAAAAUUACAGUCUAAUUGUAUAAAUCAGCCUGACACUCCUCACUGCAAAGAGAUUUCUAAUCGCUUGUGUGGCUGCCUUAAUGUUGUGCUUCAGGGCAGCAUGGUGCUCUAUUAAAUUACUGACACGUUGGAACUCUGCUACCUGGCGCUGGCUGGGGAGAAGCUGGAGGGUGUGGUCCCUCAUCUGCUUGAGGCAACAUCACCCAAGGUGCCAUAAUUCAUAGAAUCAAAGAAUCUCAGAAUGGUUUGGGUUGGAAGGGACCUCAAAGCCCACCCACAUGGUGGGGGGGAGGACUGGAUAGGCUUUAGGAUCCCUUCCAACCCAAACCAUUCCAUGAUUCUAUGAUUGCCCUGCUGGUCUGUCUGCCAUCCCAUACCCAGCUCUAUGUCUUUUCUAUAACCUAAUCCACUUGACCGCUUCUAGCUCAUAUCGUUUCUGUACCUGUAGUCAAGUGUUCAGUGCUUAAAUAUUAAUGUACUAAUUAAUAAUGAAAACUAUGGUUGUAGUUAGGUUUAAAAUUUUAUUUCAGUGAGGAAUUAGUGGAGAUCUAUUCUCUAACAAUGAAACUGCGUUAUUAAUAUAUAUAUUUAAGUAUCUUUCCCUUUAGCAAUAACAUUGCACAAGGAAAGUAUCCUGUGUAUGCAUGUCUGUGAAGACAUUUGCUUGCAGUGCUUGGAAACUCGAGCAGGAAGCCAUAAGGUGCUAGGUAUGACUUUUUGCAAAAGGGUUUUAAAAGUCCCACUAAAAAAGGGGGUUUAUUCCAAGGCUUAAAAAUGGAGGAGAGGACAGGAAACCUCCUGGAAAGAAAUACAUUUAUUUUCCACUUCAGACAGGCCAGUCUGCAAAUGCAGUAUUUGUUGCAAUCUUAAAGUAGCUGAAAGUGUUGCAUUUGUAAAGUCACAGUCAGCCAAUGGUAAUAUAAAUUGUGCUGUUAGGAUGCAUGGUACCUAACAAAUCUGGGAUGGGCUGCAUAAGAAAGGUCAGAUCCAUGUGCAAGAUGAAAAAUUCCCACCAUUUUUUUUUCCAUCUCUCUGCAAGGGAUUGCUUUCCAGAAACUUUUUCUGUCUUGGGAAGAGAUCUGGUGGAAGCUAGCUGGAUAGGGAUAUAACCACAUCAUGUUUCUCUGCAAGAUCCCCUUUCCCCUGACAGACAAGCCCAUGACUGCUUUCCCACUGGGGAUGAACUUCUUCCCUUCCAGCUUGGCAGAGGUGAGCUGAGCUAUGGAGCCGCUGUAUAGCAGCCCACUUCCCAUAUCAUGAUCUUCCACAAUGGAAAUCUUGUACUACUUCUCACUGCCCUGGUAAUAGAGAUCUGGCACUCUUUGUUGAUGACGUGGCCUUCAGAGCUGCUUCUUUAGCAUCUCUCACCCAAGGGUAUGGAGCAGUUUGUGGACAAGACCAUCUUCCAAGUUGACAGGCAAAAGUCUUCUCCCUUUCCCCCACUCAAAUAAAGGAAAAAAAAUGAAUAGUAUUCAGUCUUGAGUAACAAUUUGUGCAAUAAAAAGCAAGGUGCAGUUGAGGAAGCCCUGGAUUGGGGGUACGGAGUUUGUUGUAGCAAGGUGGGUGCUGGUCUCUUCUCCCAAGUAACAAGUGAUAGGAUGAAAGAACAUGGCCUCAAGUUACACCAGGGGAGGUUUAGAUUGAACAUUAGGAAAAAAUUCUUUACUGAAAGAGGGGUGCAGCACUGGCAGAGGCUGCCCAGGGAAAUGAUGGAGUCACCAUCCCCGGAGGUGUUUAAAAGACUUGUAGACGUGACAUUUAGUACGCACGGUGGUGUUGUGUGAUGGUUGGAUUUUAUGAUCUUGGAGGUCUUUUCCAACCUUAACAAUUCUGUGAUUUGAAGAGCUACAGGAGGUGUCCUUAGGGGGUCUGAAGAAAGGCAAGGAGUGAUCUUCCAGGGACUGAUUCCAGGAAUAGGUGGAAAUAGGGUGGGUAAAAGGAACAAAAAAAUGAUCAAAACCAGCAAGUGGGGGCAGCAACACUGAAGGGAAGUCUUCUGGACAAUGAGGGGCUCUGGAUGCACAGGAUUUGUUGUAGUUAAGAGAGCAUGGGUAGUGCCUAUAUGCCUAGGAUGGUGUUCAUGAGCAGAAUGGCUGUGCUUGUCACCCCCUGCUCUGCUGCCUUCCUUGCUGCAAUAUUUUUCUGGGAAAAUUUCCAUACUGUUUGGGGGCGAUUCCUAUGGAGAUGGGUUGGCACUGCACCGACGGUGCCUUUCCUGCCGAACUUUGAGUAAUGCCUGCUGACUUAAAGUGACCCCAGAGCCUUAUUUUUAAUUGGGAAUGUGCAAAUAUGGGGGGAAAAAAUAAAUUACAACAUUAUUUGGAACAGCAUGGGCACAGAUAUACAAAUUCUACUCAUGCUACGGGUGAAUUUUAAGAGGAGGCAUGCUGUUUAGGACCAAAUAUUGUGCUAAUAUGUAGAAUAACAGGGCUGCAUAGUAUAAUAAUAAUAAUGUAUAAUAUGGUAUAAUAGAGCUGUGUUCAACAUGAGUGAACAGUGUGCUGCAGUAGCAAAGGAGGCCAGCAGGAUGCAUCAAGAAGGGCCUCACCAGCAGAGAUAAAGAAGUCAUUAUCUCACUCUAUUUGUCAGGCUGCACCUGGAGUGCUGCGUUUGGUUUUGGUCUCCACUACACAAAAAAAAAAAAAAGCUGUGGCCAGGCAGGAGAGGUUCCAGGGAAGGAAGGGAUGAUCAGAGGACUGAGAAACCUACCACAUGAAGUAAGACUGGGAGACUUACUUGUUGACUCUUGUUCAGUAUCAAGAUAAGACUUAUUACCAUGUUCCUAAUACAAGCAGUAGUUAUUGUUACAAAAAGUGGGAUAUUUUUU